rnacentral:rRNA from 1 species
GCGAAAUCGCACAUUGACGAGGAGCUUUGCAGCUGGAACAGUAACUGAAACGACUCUAAACAAAGUAAUCAGUCUUAUGCAAGUCAGCGUCAGCUGGCGACACUUUCGAAUUGCGGGGAACCCCUAAGAGCCUUUUACACCAAACCAGUGUGGGAAACCGCCUGGCGGCCCGUGGGAAACUACGGGGUAUGGUAACAGUUAAAAGGAUGAUCUAGCCACCACCAUGGCCAGAGAAAUGGGCAAUCCGCAGCGAAGCCCCUGCUGUUUGUAGUAGCUAUCCUGGCAUAGCCGCUAAACAUGGGGAACGUUCACAGACUAAGUGGAAGUGGGUGGAGUGCUUGGGUGCUCUGCUUAAGAUAUAGUCGAGGCCUGUGGGAAACCAUGGGGAUGGACAUUACUGUUCCGUAGGUGAACCUGCGGAAGGAUCAUUACAUUCAGUAGCUUGCUACUGUUAGGGGGGUCGACCAGCCUGUAUAGUAUCACUACUGAUGAGCAGCACAACCCCCUGUCUGUACCCUUGUCUUUUGCGCACUCAUGUUUCCUCGGCGGGUCUAUGCCCGCCGGCUGGACAACUCUAUAACCUUUUUAAUUUUCAAUCAGCGUCUGAAAAACCUAAUAAUUACAACUUUCAACAACGGAUCUCUUGGUUCUGGCAUCGAUGAAUAACGCAGCGAAGUGCGAUAAGUAGUGUGAAUUGCAGAAUUCAGUGAGAUCAUCGAAUCUUUGAACGCACAUUGCGCCCCUUGGUAUUCCAUGGGGCAUGCCUGUUCGAGCGUCAUUUGUACCCUCAAGCUCUGCUUGGUGUUGGGUGUUUGUCCACUCCCUGGUGUUUGGACUCGCCUAAAGCAUUGGCAGCCAGUGUUUUGGUAUUGAAGCGCAGCACAUUGCGUCUCCGCCUAGAUGCUGCGUCCAGUAAGCCAUUUCCACUUUGGACCUACGACACAGGUAGGGAUACCCGCUGAACUUAAGCAUAGUUAUGCGCGCGACGAGAGAUUU